AGCCGUUGGGGCCUUUGAGGCUUUAGUGGCGCAGCUAACGCGAUAAGUAGACCGCCUGGGGAGUACGGCCGCAAGGCUAAAACUCAAAGGAAUUGACGGGGGCCCGCACAAGCGGCGGAGCAUGUGGAUUAAUUCGAUGCAACGCGAAGAACCUUACCUGGCCUUGACAUACUAGAAACUUUCCAGAGAUGGAUUGGUGCCUUCGGGAAUCUAGAUACAGGUGGUGCAUGGUUGUCGUCAGCUCGUGUCGUGAGAUGUUGGGUUAAGUCCCGCAACGAGCGCAACCCUUGUCUUAUGUUGCCAGCACGUUAUGGUGGGGACUCGCGAGAGACUGCCGGGGUUAACUCGGAGGAAGGUGGGGAUGACGUCAAAUCAUCAUGCCCCUUAUGUCCUGGGCUUCACACAUGCUACAAUGGCCGGUACAAAGGGCUGCGAUACCGUGAGGUGGAGCUAAUCCCUUAAAGCCGGUCUCAGUUCGGAUUGGAGUCUGCAACUCGACUCCAUGAAGUCGGAGUCGCUAGUAAUCGCAGAUCAGAACGCUGCGGUGAAUACGUUCCCGGGCCUUGUACACACCGCCCGUCACACCAUGAGAGUUUGUAACACCAGAAGUGGAUAGUCUAACCCUCGGGAGGACGUUCACCACGGUGUGGCCGAUGACUGGGGUGAAGUCGUAACAAGGUAGCCGUAGGGGAACCUGCGGCUG
rnacentral:rRNA from 1 species